AUGUCGGCGAUUAUGGGAUAUUGCACUGGAUUAUUUUGUGGAAGAUGACUGAAGUUAUAGAGGUGCGUCGUACCUUCGUCGGACCUCAACGCCCUGAUGAUGGAGGCAGUACGUACCUCUGAAACGUCGGUCACAUUCUGCGAGACAACAUGAUACAAUAUACCAGAAGACUGUCAUCUUCAUUAACUCUUUGUUUUGAAUUGUAAGUAUGUUCGACACAAGAAGUUUGAUUUCUGUUCAUUAUGACGGGCCGUAAGCUAUUUAUCUUUGUAAAUUUUGUUGUAUUGAACAUGAGACUAUGAAGACGUAUGGUGGUAAUGUAAGUUAACACGUGUAUAUAUUUAACCUCGGAUUUAGCUAGAGAGUGGUUUGCUUCGACCCCAGUCUCUUAACCCCUGGGAAAGCAGUCCCUGCCCCAUCGGAUAAGAUGUUAAACGUAAUGGGGAAACAAUAAACCCUGCUCUGUCAGGAAUAAAUAAUAUUUGUCUAGCCCCUAUCAACUAGUUUCACUAACUUAUGCCUUACCUAUUAUAAUAUAAAGUUUAUUUGUAAUUAUUUUUAAAGACAGAAGCGAAAUCAUACAGGGAAGUUAUUUAAGAAACCCCCUGUCGCGGAACGGCGGAAGGAUACAAUGCAAGAAAGUGAAGCGGCUGGGAAACGUGUCCACCUGCAAGCAGUGCGGGCAACGUUAUUCAGAAUGUUUUGUUUCAAUCGUCAAGAUACUGUGUCACCUAUUUAGAUAAACAAACAAAUAAUAAUAUUCUGCAUUAUCACAAUUCUUCUUGUCAGGUAACGGUGGUUCUCAGAAGAACGUGUAAAGUGGCAUUGGUUUACAUGUGGAAAAUUCCAACUCACGUACAACGCCAUUAGGCCUACUGUUCAGGUCGUACUGAAACUGAAGUGAAAGUAACUUGGUAAAAUUUUAAUGUGCUAUGCAAGUGAACGAAGACCUUCGGAUUAAUAGAACUCGGUCAAACAACGUGCAUCGUUUCCUGAGAAAACUGUGUCAAACUCAACUGCAUGAAGAAAAUUAGUGCGGCAAGACUUGCCUACAGUUUCCACAAACAUAAACGCCCGGACAACAUCUUCACAUCACUACUGAUGUAAACACGAGGCGGGAAAUGGCUCCGAGAACCAACAGAGUAAGAAUUCGGCCGACAUGGUUCAUACCGCCACGUGUAAUGUUGAUUCCGAAGCGUCCAUGAUGUUACCUUACAUUCUGCAGUGUAAUAUAUGCCUCUCACAUGAGCCCAUACAACAUGCUGUGCUUCUAUUAGGAGCCACACCACGUAUUCAGCAUCCAGAUGUGUACACCCCUGGAGGGAGUGUGGACCAACGGUGGGAGGAUUGGCAUAAAAACGUCUCAUCUGGUCGACUCGUACAUUACGUUAUACUAUUUUAUUAUGGAUCCAGUGCCACAGCUUCGUAUCCUCCGCAUGCAAAAUGUAAGAUACUCCAUGCUCCAUGUCGUCCGGAAGUUGGACUGAAUUCUUCCUUUUUCUCCUGUUCAAUCCUCCCUCUUUUGUCACAGAUGUCACUGUACGAUUUCAACUCUUUGGGAUAACUGUUUAUCUGUUCAUCUUUCUGCUUCAUUAGGCAGAGCCACAAAAAAAUUAAAUACCUCAUUGACGCGGGUAUUAAGUCCCUGGGCUAUAGCCACUUCAUUCUCCCCUCCUAUUCGUUCUUCACACAAAGCGAAUAAAAUUAAUAGCACGUUUACGACCGUCUAGCCUCAUGAAUCAUAACCGAAAUUGGUAAAAGAAUUUCGUGUUAAACUUCAUAUCAAAGGUCUACAUUUAACAUUCUUCGGAAAAUUAACUGCACUUCGCUUCAGUUCAAUAUAAUCACUAUUUUACGCAAGCCUUAAAAAGUUACUCGUAUAGAAACAGACUCCAUGUUGAAGUCAUAACAUGUUUACGCUCUACAACUUAUGUUUAAAAUAUUCUUUGAUACGUAAGAUU